CCUACGGGAGGCAGCAGUGGGGAAUAGUGCACAAUGGGGGAAACCCGGAUGCAGCGACGCCGCGGGAGUGAAGAAGGAAUGCGGUAUGUAAAGCUCUAUCAGCAGGGAAGAAAAUGACGGUACCUGAGUAAGAAGCCCCGGCUAACUACGUGCCAGCAGCCGCGGUAAUACGUAGGGGGCAAGCGUUAUCCGGAGUUACUGGGUGUAAAGGGAGCGUAGACGGCAGGGCAAGUCUGGAGUGAAAGGCGGGGGCUCAACCCCCGGACUGCUCUGGAAACUGUACGGCUGGAGUGCAGGAGAGGUAAGUGGAAUUCCUAGUGUAGCGGUGAAAUGCGUAGAUAUUAGGCGGAACACCAGUGGCGAAGGCGGCUUACUGGACUGUAACUGACGUUGAGGCUCGAAAGCGUGGGGAGCAAACAGGAUUAGAUACCCGAGUAGUC
rnacentral:rRNA from 1 species